UGGGGAAUAUUGCACAAUGGGGGAAACCCUGAUGCAGCGACGCCGCGUGAACGAAGAAGGUAUUCGUAUCGUAAAGUUCUGUCCUAUGGGAAGAUAAUGACAGUACCAUAGAAGAAAGCUCCGGCUAAAUACGUGCCAGCAGCCGCGGUAAUACGUAUGGAGAGAGCGCUGUCCGGAAUUAUUGGGCGUAAAGGGUACGCAGGCGGUUUAAUAAGUCGAAUGUUAAAGAUCGGGGCUCAACCCCGUAAAGCAUUGGAAACUGAUAAGCUUGAGUAGUGGAGAGGAAAGUGGAAUUCCUAGUGUAGUGGUGAAAUACGUAGAUAUUAGGAGGAAUACCAGUAGCGAAGGCGACUUUCUGGACACAAACUGACGCUGAGGUACGAAAGCGUGGGGAGCAAACAGG
rnacentral:rRNA from 1 species